GCAAUAUUACAAUAAGGACUGGG
rnacentral:piRNA from 1 species